AAGCAUAGCAACCAGGUAACCAACUCGUCCCGGAUCGGAAGCGACAAAAACGCAUUCCGGUUCAGAGAGCGGAAACAUAGAUAAAAUCGCGAGAGAUUCGUGAUGCAACUCUGAUGCGUCCGAAUCCAUACGGGAGAAUACAAUCGCUAGAAGAAUUUCCCGUGCGUUGUUCGCCGAAAUAACAGACCUGUUCUUCUCCGAGUCACGAGCUAGUCCUCUGAGUCUCCUCAACGCCGCAACCCUGGAAUUCAUAUGAUUCGACUGAGCCGCCGCCUGAUUCAGCAAUGACCGAACCAACGAUGGAUCAGCCGGUUGUUUCGGCGUCGGAAUCCUCUCAACUCCGAAAGCCCGGUUCGCAACACACCACUCCUGUAUAAGGCGGCGAAGAGUAUGAUUUGGAAUAAGAGUGAAAUCACUGAGCGGCGCCCUUGUUACCGGACAAGUAGUAUUGCCGGUGGCGACCCAGGACUCAAUGCUUUGGCGGUCGUAAGUUUGACCGGUACAGACUGUGACCGGAUCUCGCAUAAGCUCUAAGGAGAUUGGACACCGAAAAUGGUAUGGAAUCUGAACACCAACAUCCAAAGGGUCUAAACUUGCAGGCAUGUUUUCUUAACUCUGUUUUAUCUUCUUUAUCGGGUAGCAGUGUUUUAUAUAUAGAUAUAGAAAAAGCUAAAACUGAAAGAGAGUCUGCAAAUUCUGUUUCAGUUUUGUUUGGGAAUUUGCUGGGUCUUAU
rnacentral:misc_RNA from 1 species